UACAGAGGUCCCAAGCGUUGUUCGGAUUCACUGGGCGUAAAGGGUGCGUAGGUGGUCAGGUAAGUCGGAUGUGAAAUCUCCGAGCUCAACUCGGAAACUGCAUUGGAAACUACCUGGCUCGAGGGUUGGAGGGGGGACUGGAAUGCUUGGUGUAGCAGUGAAAUGCGUAGACAUCAAGCGGAACACCAGUGGCGAAGGCGAGUCCCUGGACAACUCCUGACACUGAUGCACGAAAGCUAGGGGAGCAAACAGG
rnacentral:rRNA from 1 species